rnacentral:rRNA from 1 species
AUGCACGCUGGCGGCGUGCCUAAUCCCUGCCAGUCGAGCGAACAGACGAGGAGCUUGCUCCUCUGACGUUAGCGGCGGACGGGUGAGUAACACGUGGAUAACCUACCUAUAAGACUGGGAUAACUUCGGGAAACCGGAGCUAAUACCGGAUAAUAUAUUGAACCGCAUGGUUCAAUAGUGAAAGACGGUUUUGCUGUCACUUAUAGAUGGAUCCGCGCCGCAUUAGCUAGUUGGUAAGGUAACGGCUUACCAAGGCAACGAUGCGUAGCCGACCUGAGAGGGGGAACCGGCACACCUGGACCUAAGACACGGUCCAGACCCUUACGGGAGGCACCGGUGGGAAUCCUUCCGAAAGGGGCGAAACCCUGCCGAGGCAACGCCGCGUGGGUAAGGAAGGUCUCCGGUUCGUAAACCCCUGUUAUUAGGGAAAAAAAAAUGUGUAAGUAACUAUGAACGUCUGAACGGUACCAAACAAGAAAGCCCCGCCUACUUACGG